UUUAUUGGUAAGACUUAUCAACUAUGUAUUUUUAAUUAAGUUUGCAAUAAAACUUAUUAUAAUAAAAGUGGUUUCAUCUUAAAAGAAAAUACAGCAGCAAGAAAUAUUUCUAAAUUAUGACCCUACAACUGGAGUAAAGGAUGUAUUUAAGUGAUAGGGUGAUCUGAUGGGCCUUAGCUGUGUCUCCUCUAUUUUCCUGUUACGUAGAAAGUCUCGGAGUUAUAGGUCUCCAAGGUGUACAUUUAGAUACUUGGUACUAUGAAAUGAGUACUUAAAUAGGUAGUGAGAAACCAGGGAUUGUAGCUACCAGGGUAUAUAAUUGUUAACUGAAUUUCUUUGCCUACUUUAACCAAUUCCAGCUUCCAGCAUUUUAAGGGAAGUAAUACCAAACAAACAGCAUCCUCACUUGCCUGUAUCAGCAUCGUGACUUAGUAUACCUUUCUUCAACUUACACCAUUAUAUUCUUUCCCUAAGCCCUAAAGAUUCACAGAAGAAGAAAAGAAUACCUGAAAGCUUGAGCAUUAACUAGUAUUUAAAACAUUUAAUGGGUUAUAUUUAAAACAUAUAAUGUCUGUAAGCCAAAGCUAUUAAUAUUAGUUUUCAUGAAAGAUGCUAUCAGAGAAGUCUUACUUUAUAUAAAGGAAGACUUGUCGGGAGUCAGCAGAAGGCAUUCCAGGUGGAACAGGAACAUCAUAUGUGCUUGGAGCCUAAAGGCGUGCAUAAUAUAUUUGAGCCUAGGAAGGCAAAGAUGUCCUGAGUAGUGACAUGCUGAGCCUCAGAAAAGGGACCCUUUGCUCCCACCUGUCUCUCUUAACCUCCAUUCACUUAAGGUAACACUGUUUUCUUUUAGUAGCCUCCUCAUUGAAUGGUACAAUUUAGUCAUUAUCGGAAAAGAAAGGCUAUUUAUUUUGCACUAUUGGGUACUUAUACUUAAUAUUCAUUACAAUAAAGUUCUAAUUUAUGUGGCACUUCAUAUGGUCAUGACAUUUGACUCUAUGUUGAUAAUAUUUUGGACCUGAGAUUUCACUUAAUGAUGUUUUUAUUUGUUAAAUACUCAUUUUUCCUCAAUUUUACAUCUUAACAUAGUUGGAACUAGGUAAGCUAUACAACAUGAAUUGAUUCCCUACUUAGCCCACUUGUGUUUUUCUUACACUUAAAAGUUACAUCCCCUACACCUCACUUGCUAGCACUUUUUCAUUUCUAUAAUUCAGAUUCUAUGAUGCGGACAUUUCUACAGUAUUUUUGCAGUGUUGUAUUUGGUAUUGCUUUCUCAUUUGGGGGCACAUUUUUUACUAUGGCCUGAAGAUCUUCAAGUUCUUAAGUUAAAUUGUUCAUUAUUGAUAGAAAGGUUUAUUAUAUGCCAUUUUCUAUUCUAGAAUUCUGUUAGCUAAUCUAGCGUUUUGGUAUGACGAAUGUAACUUUAAAUUUUAUUUAUUUUCUAUUUUCUUAAAGCAAUAGUACUUUUUCUGAGUGGUGACUUUUUCCUUUUUUUUUUUUUUUUUUUUUUUUUUACAUUUAUUCAUUUUUAAGAGACAGAGACAGAACACGAGUGGGGAAGGAACAGAGAGAGAGAGGGAGACACAGAAUCUGAAACAGGCUCCAGGCUCUGAGCUGUCAGCAUAGAACCCGAUAUGGGGCUUGAACCCAUGAAUGGCAAGAUCAAGAUCAUGACCCGAGUAUGAAGUUGGAUGCUCAACCGACUGAGCCACCUAGGUGCCCCUCCCCCUUUUUUUUCAAAUGGAAUUUGAGUUUGUAGUCAGUGGUCUUAGUUUUUU